UGGGGAAUUUUGGACAAUGGGGGAUACCCUGAUCCAGCCAUCCCGCGUGUGCGAUGAAGGCCUUCGGGUUGUAAAGCACUUUUGGCAGGAAAGAAACGUCAUGGGUUAAUACCCCGUGAAACUGACGGUACCUGCAGAAUAAGCACCGGCUAACUACGUGCCAGCAGCCGCGGUAAUACGUAGGGUGCAAGCGUUAAUCGGAAUUACUGGGCGUAAAGCGUGCGCAGGCGGUUCGGAAAGAAAGAUGUGAAAUCCCAGAGCUCAACUUUGGAACUGAAUUUUUAACUACCGGGCUAGAGUGUGUCAGAGGGAGGUGGAAUUCCGCGUGUAGCAGUGAAAUGCGUAGAUAUGCGGAGGAACACCGAUGGCGAAGGCAGCCUCCUGGGAUAACACUGACGCUCAUGCACGAAAGCGUGGGGAGCAAACAGG
rnacentral:rRNA from 1 species